GAUGAACGCUAGCUACAGGCUUAACACAUGCAAGUCGAGGGGAAACGACAUCGAAAGCUUGCUUUUGAUGGGCGUCGACCGGCGCACGGGUGAGUAACGCGUAUCCAACCUGCCCAUCACUUGGGAAUAACCUUGCGAAAGUAAGACUAAUACCCAAUGAUAUCCCACGAAGGCAUCGGAAUGGGAUUAAAGAUUUAUCGGUGAUGGAUGGGGAUGCGUCUGAUUAGCUUGUUGGCGGGGUAACGGCCCACCAAGGCAACGAUCAGUAGGGGUUCUGAGAGGAAGGUCCCCCACAGUGGAACUGAGACACGGUCCAAACUCCUACGGGAGGCAGCAGUGAGGAAUAUUGGUCAAUGGGCGAGAGCCUGAACCAGCCAAGUAGCGUGCAGGAAGACGGCCCUAUGGGUUGUAAACUGCUUUUAUAAGGGAAUAAAGUGGGUCACGUGUGACUUUUUGCAUGUACCUGAUGAAUAAGGACCGGCUAAUUCCGUG
rnacentral:rRNA from 1 species